rnacentral:rRNA from 1 species
AUACAUGCAAGUCGAACGAUACCAGAGGGCUUGCUCUCUGGGAAAGUGGCGCACGGGUGCGUAACGCGUAUGCAACCUACCUUAAUCAGGGGGAUAGCCUCUCGAAAGAGAGAUUAACACCGCAUAAAAUCACAAGCUGGCAUCAGCAAAUGAUCAAAUAUUUAUAGGAUUAAGAUGGGCAUGCGUGACAUUAGUUAGUUGGUGAGGUAACGGCUCACCAAGACCACGAUGUCUAGGGGAUCUGAGAGGAUGACCCCCCACACUGGUACUGAGACACGGACCAGACUCCUACGGGAGGCAGCAGUAAGGAAUAUUGGUCAAUGGGGGCAACCCUGAACCAGCCAUGCCGCGUGCAGGAAGACGGCCCUACGGGUUGUAAACUGCUUUUAUACGGGAAUAAACCUUUCUUCGUGAAGAGAGCUGAAUGUACUGUAAGAAUAAGGAUCGGCUAACUCCGUGCCAGCAGCCGCGGUAAUACGGAGGAUCCAAGCGUUAUCCGGAUUUAUUGGGUUUAAAGGGUGCGUAGGCGGCCUGUUAAGUCAGGGGUGAAAUUUUUCGGCUCAACCGGAAGCUUGCCUUUGAUACUGAUGGGCUUGAUUACACUUGAGGUAGGCGGAAUGUGACAAGUAGCGGUGAAAUGCAUAGAUAUGUCACAGAACACCAAUUGCGAAGGCAGCUUACUAAGGUGUUAAUGACGCUGAGGCACGAAAGCGUGGGGAUCAAACAGGAUUAGAUACCCUGGUAGUCCACGCCCUAAACGAUGAAUACUCGAUGUUAGCGAUAUACAGUUAGCGUCAAAGCGAAAGCGUUAAGUAUUCCACCUGGGGAGUACGCCCGCAAGGGUGAAACUCAAAGGAAUUGACGGGGGCCCGCACAAGCGGAGGAGCAUGUGGUUUAAUUCGAUGAUACGCGAGGAACCUUACCCGGGCUUGAAAGUUACUGAAGUAUCCAGAGAUGGAUGCGUCCGCAAGGACAGGAAACUAGGUGCUGCAUGGCUGUCGUCAGCUCGUGCC